rnacentral:tRNA from 1 species
GGUGGUUCAUUGGUAGAAUGCUUGUCUUGCAUGCAUGAGGCCCUGGGUUCGAUUCCUCAGCACCA